GGGCACAGAGCGCGCCCCGCAGGAGGAGGGAGUCGGGGCGCUCCCCGCGCGGCCGGGCGCCUCGGGGCUCUUCAUCUCGCUGAGUGCCGUGGGACGGUCGGCAAAACCGACAGUCUUACGGCCUCUGGAUUUGCCCGAGUGCCGCUGUACCCCUUACAGGGAGAAGCACUCGCGCCUUGUCAAAAGUUGUUCUGAUUUAAGCGAUCGUGCGCCGGCUUUGGAAUCCAGACCCAGCAGCUUUCUCACCGUGGCUGCCCGUGCAGCUGUGAAUGCCGCUGACGAGCAGGUUUGCUACGGUCAAGUGAGCUUCUGGCAUGAAGACGGCACGUAAAGCAACGCCUGCAGAAGUGACGGAACAGCUCUUUCUGAACACCCGGACUUGAGGAACGUGGCCAGAAAAGAAUAGUUUAAUCUUGGCUCGGCAAAAGCCCAGAUUUGUGGAUUUAAACAUACAAAAUACUCAAAAAGAGCUGUGCCAAGAUGUGCUCAGGAAAAUGAGUUCUUUCUUCUAUGAAACUGCAAUUGAGUCUUGCUUACACCUGGAGAACAGAAGAGAUGUGAACACUGGGAAACCACACAAAGGGUAAAGUGAUACCAUUGCCUCGCCCAUUUGCUGCAAAUACUAUGCUUUGCAUAAAAGAAGACAACACAUCUGUUCAUUAAGCGAGUUAAUUGAGCAAUGCCUAUUUCCCUGACCUAAUUGACACUGUUAAUAUUCCAUCCAUCUUCCAAUCCAUAUGCUAAUAGCUACAUUGCUACUUUAUUAUGGAAUCUUGCCUUAGAUUUGAAUACUGCUUCAUUCUUCCAUAACAUUGUUUGAAUUACUAUAGUUGCUGCUGUCGUUCUGGUUUCAUUUACUUAAGUAAAUUUAAUGUUUUUGAUAAAAUUUUCAUGUUCCAAAGAAACACUCAGAGUAAAGUUCCAGAAAAACAAACAAAUAAAUAAAUAAAUAAAUGUGUUCCAGCCAAGAUAAACUCGCUGUUGCUAUAGGAAAGGUUUAGUAGAAUUUAUGAGGAAAGUGACAUUUUCAUUUAGAAAUUAUGAAAAGUGUUGAAGCAAGCUUUAUCUCGUUUGAUCCUUAUUAAGUUUUCACAGUGAGAUGGUGCUCCUGCUGUCCCAGAGGCAAAAUUGCCACAUCUUAUCACAUUUGUUUAGCGUCUGCUUUUGUUGUAGGAUUUUUUUUUGUAAACUACAAGAACCCAGGAGAUUGCUGCUGAUAAACGCCGUUCUGCCUGUGCCGCCUUCUGUUAUAGCCUCUUAAAAAUGAAAACUUUUGAACGAAA